UUGUUCAGAUCACCCAACACAUUAAAAACACUAAGCUUUACAUACACCUAGCUGAGUUCAAUGGAAUUAUUUUUCAAAAUUAUGCAUAGCAUUAUUUUUUAAAUAUGUUCCCUGACGUGGUAAAUAUGUUCCUAGGUGUACGUAGCCCUUAAAUUUAUUUAUUGUGAUCGUUUAACGAGUUGAGUUUGAAGAUACAAACACGAAAUUUCCGAGAAGAACAUUCCGAAGUCGACUUUCACUGUUUCCAGGAAGAGAACACUCCUAGCGCUGAUCGGUGACGUUUGUAAACAACUGAUAUUUAGGUCGCUGGUGUUUACGUACUCAUUGUUAUAGGCGCGGCCGGGAGAGUUCCACACGGUGCUCCAAUUUUCCAGAAGUUACGGUUUUCAGUGACCGUUGAAUUCGACGUAAAAAGACAUUACCGAUACAGAAGGAGCUGCUGAUAAGGAUCACGGAGGCCUAAGAAUAGCGGUACUUUCCUUUUGCUCCACUGACAUCGCCCAACGCGUGCAGGGCGCUCGUGGAUAACGACACAGAUUUUGUUUUGACACCUCGCGCGUCAAGGAUUUGCAGCUUACGAGCUGCUCGACCAAAACAAUCCAAAAAGUCGGAGGGAAUUACGAAAUACUCCCAGAAACAACUCCUUCCGUAACGGAGAAAAUCGUCGAGUCACUCCUUGUCAAAUCUCUUCGGAAUCACGUCUCGAAUUUUGAUGAGACGUUACUUGUUCAAUGUUUAACGGGUCAAGUUAGUAUUACACUAUUGUAGGAGGCGUAAUAAUAUCAUAUAAAUCUAAACUCAUUCUAACAAAAGAAAUGAAUUAUACUCUUCCAAAUGUACACUAUUUAAUACAACAUAAAUCUUGUUUGGAGCAAAAGUGUACAUUUUGCAAUGACAUUGCUUCGAGUGCAAGGGGUUAAAAUAGAAUACUUUCAUACAAUUAUCUGCAUAUAAAAUAAUUAAGGUUCGGUGCAAAAAGUUUAUUAAACACUCCAAAAAUAGGCUGGUGUUGCUGGUUCGUUCUAACGAAAAUGUCGUCGCUCGCAGAGGGUUAAUAUUCAAACGGCACGAUGAGCCCAGCCUUUGAUACAACAAAAUAAAAGUUUCGUGGCGUCGCAAAAAGUUGUCGACCUUACUCGGUGUACAGGUGUAUUCAAAACCUUCUCCGUACGAAUUGUGGCUAAUGUCGAUAUGAAUAUGGAAUGUUCAAGGCCAAUCUUCUCGAAGCAGCCUCAAAGAAGCGCACGAAGUUUCUUAUAAUUUGGUGUCCAACACCGCGAUGAUAGCUUCGAAAAACUCGUUUCUGUUUCAAAUUUUUUAAAAUAUAUCCUUCUAAAAAUACGUUUAAAUCGAUGAAGAAUUCAGGAAGCUAUGGCAGUUAUCGCGGAGCAUGUCAAUAAGUACCUGGUGAGGAACUUUAAACGUGUUUUUCUAAAAUCCAUAUUUAUUAAGUUAUUUAGUUAUUAAUUUAUUCAUGAGUGAACUUCUGUUUUGUUGAUAUUCUUUCUUUUCAAAAAUACAAAAGUACAGUUACUCACAGACAGAUUAUGGAGGUUUACGCAAAUGCAUAUCUUACAUCCAUCUAUGCACUUUUAUUGUAGAAUGGAUGGAAAAUUUUAAGAUACCAUCGCCCACAUACAUACAUAUAUAUGUAUAUUAAUUUCAAUUUUACUAUACUUCCUAUACUAUAGAUAUUUUUCCUGCAGAAGUACAUAUUAUAUUUUACUUGCAUCAAAGUCAUAUUUUCAAGUUUCUUAGAUAUCUAUUCAGUAACAUGGCAUUCAGAAGUGAAUUAAAGAAAAAUAAAAUUUCUUCGAGCCAACGAACUCUCCAACCGAGCAGGUAUGAUUGUUCUUAACACUGCGUAGAAAUUCCAAGAGAUGUCGAGGAUGGAAUACCGUAAUUUUUCAUCGAGUUCUGGGAGACAACUGUUGUUCCGCUACUACGAAGAAUUCAAGCAAAACAUAACGGGAAAUCACGAAGACAAUGACGAAAUGUGGAGGCCAAAAGUUUAGGAAAAAAACCAGAAGACAAGCACGAUCGGUUUCGCGUGUAUGCUAAUCCUUUUCCGACAAAUCGUUGGAUCAACUUUGUUGUGGUGACCCGAUUUCGACAAGAUCCGUGACUCGUGCCAGGACGACAUUCACGAUGUCCUGAAUGACGAUCGAAUGGAACCACGCGCAGAUCAACAGUUUUCAUACCAGUCGUUUAUACAUUCUUCAUUCACGACAACAAUCAAAAUAAGAAAGAUUUACAAUACGCCACGUGAAAGUAAAGAAUCGUUAUUAUGAAAUUAAUGGGAGGUGAAAUUGACGAAAUAGUCCUUGAAAAGUACACCUAAAAAAGUGAUACAAAAUUCAAAGAGAAACUAAUCAGUUCAAUUUUUAUUGCAAACAGUUUGUUGACAACUGUGCUAAGCUGCUAAGAUUCAGUUUUAUAAUUUAUAACGAUGCUCGAGUAUAUUAGAGUGAUCUUCCAAAGGAAUUCGGUGCAACUAAUAGAAAAUACAGUUUUUUCCUCUAUUAAUUUAUUAAUUUUCUUAACUUUUUCCCAACACAACAGAAAUACUAUCCAUUUGAAAUGUAAUUACUGUCGUAAUCGUGUAGAAACAUUAGAUCAAGGCUACCACUAGUGCAGCUGGAAUUGUUAGGCAAACGUUGAAGACAGUUCUGUGAAACUCCGCGCGUGUGAAAUCGAUUGUUGACUGUUCAAGACACAGUAACGUCGACAGCAAUUUCAGCACGUAAGGUCGUAAGUGAUCCUUUCUAAGAAAACGGUUAUCGCGUUUGUAGCUGCAUAAAGUCGUAAGUCGCGAAGUAAGAGAAAUGGCAGUGAGAAAAGACGGGAAAGGACGCACGCUACAGCUGGUGGGGCUACAAAGGUGAUUCGCGUGUAUCUUUAUGUUUGAGCGAGUAAAAAAAAAAAAAAGAAUAAGAAAUUAAACCACACCGUGAUUCCACCCUCUGACACAAAUCUGUGUGAAACGAUAAUGCAGCUCAUUUUUCUACACUUUCUUUUACUCGGCCCACCAAAAUUGCCGACCCCUACGGUUGACCUUAGCCCAAAACCAAAGACAAAAAGGAUACUCCAAUUCUAGUUCCUCAAACAAAUGAAAUCCCUUCCGGGCAGGCACGUAGGUCACGAAGAAAGAGAAAUGGCAAGAGAUUCGAAAGAGAGGGUCUGCCACGAGCAAAAAGAGAGGCAAAAACAGCGGAACGGAGGAGUGGUGGGCAAAAGGUGAUCCACGUGUUUUGCAGAUUUUUCUCUGCGAUCGACUUUCAAAUCUGCUCAACCCGAUGCGCCGCAGAAUUUCGUCCAGGGGCCUAUUAGAAUGCGAAACGGGACGUCGAUUUGUGACCGUUUCCGCGUGAUUUCGGCGUACUGCUUCAACUUUCCAAACACGUUUUCCAGGAACCGCGUACUGGCCCGAAUCGAAUAACGAAACACGCAGUCAAACGCAACGACCGGGCGUUGCACUUUUUUUCGGUUUCGCGGCGAAUAAUCGAAUCGGUUAUUCCAGAAAAUACACAGGGUGGGUCCUGAUAAGAUCCAUUUUAACAUCGAAAGUGCCACUGGGUAUUUGAUUCGCGUAUUUCGAAUAUCUAUUAGCCCUUAACUUAGCCGCUUCUAACGUCUAUGGAUCGAAACUAUCGAAAGGGGUCUUCAUUUAAACUUUCACUUCUGAAAAGUAUAAUUUCGAUCUUCGACUGCCAUGAUUCUCAACUCACGGUUUACAAUUCAAGGGUGCAGGUGUCCAGGGCCGUUGAGAGUAUCUCGAUUGAAGCGUGUAUCAGAAGGCGAAAAGAAGAGAUGGGGCGGGGCCACAGCCAAGCCGUCAAAGAAAAGCGCAUUACAAUCGAUUCGUCAAACUGGAAUGGAACAGGCCGAGUCUGCGAUAAUGAAAUAGACGAAGAGGAAAGUCGAAACAGCUACGAGUAAUAGAUACAAGAAGGAUAAUAGUAUGCGGGAUUCGCCUGAAUAAAAUGCAGAAUCCUUCCUUCUAAGGGCGAGGUCACCGUGACGGGCUUAUCGUUGCUCGCAUAGUCGGCCGUCUUGCUGGUGGGGGUCCAUGCGGCAGCGCAGGAAGUGAUAUACAUAUGUUAUUCAAAUUUAUGGAAAACCCGCAGCCGAUGCAAUUUAUAGUUGCCUAUAUCGCGGUGGAAUCAGUGAAAAACUAUAAACAAUAAACGAAUCGGAAGUCUCGGGGACACGGUGCAAUCUCGUCGUCUCCUCGUUCCGUAUCAAUUAUUUAUGAAUUUUCCACGACGCGAUAACGUGUGGCUCUCAUAAAAGAAACACUGCAGACUUUUCCGACUGGCGAUCCUCUUCACUCGACCAACUUUUCACGUUAAGAACGUUUUCUAUUUAGACUUAGCCACCGUGCUGGUUGCAGCGUGGCUGUUCAUUUCCUUCAAGAAUUAGUCAACUAAAAUUUUCCUUAUUUUGUCUAGCAACAGAAUUUCAUUCGAUAAAGUGAAGUGUAUAAAUUGUGUGGUUGAUUUACGUUUACAUAAAAAUAAGAUCCGCUCGAAACCAUUCCAUCGAGAAAAAAACUGACUCUAAAAUUCCGGUUUUCAUUCAUACGAUAACAAUUUUAUGCUCGAAAUAAACAUGUCACUGUUAAUUGGAUGUAGAAUCAAAGUAAACAAAAGUUUCUUCUUAAAAUAAUCCAAUUUUUUCGUCAAAUAUUAUUUCAUAAUUUUAGAAUGUACAUAUUCGUCAUUUUUCAUUUGCAAAUUCAGAAAAUCAUGAGAUGGAAUAUACUAGUUCCACUGUCACGUUGAACAGUUCAUUUAUGUAUACUUUUCCAAUGACAAUUUGGACGUGGCUAUCCUCGUCUGUCGCGUUUAUAUUCAACAUUUCUUUCAUACGGAAAUAUGUAUUGGUACCGUUAGAGAGUUCCUGUUGACUUUCCUCGUACACAGUGAUUCACCAAACAUUUUCUGCGCCGUGUUAGCGAACGUUAUGCAACAUCGUGCAGGCAGCAGCCGACCGAUUUCUUCUUACCCCCGGCUAUCGGAUCGUGUUGUGUUUUUCCUCUCACUUCUGCCUACUCGAUGGCUGACUAACUUUGUAGCAUUCCGUUACAAAGUUGCUCGAGGUUGCGUGAAACGUUUCCAACGAGCAGACUUGCCGACCGAUUGAUCAGCCUCGAUAAGAAAUUACAUGUACACUCGCGCCCGGUAUUUAAGGGGGCUGGACAGUCAAAUUGCUUCGAAAUAAACUCUUCUUUUGGAAUUAAUUUCCAAGUAAAUGAAUGCGAGUCUUGACCUCUCCUCUUGCGUAAUGUUUAUAUGUAUCUCAAAGAAAAUACUUAAUCCGGUUCAUAAUAACUGGACGAAUAAAUAUUUUAUAGUUAAAAUCAUUUACAACUGUUACUGUCUAUAAGAAAACUUGCUCUGUUGUUAAUGUGGAACAUUCUGCCGAUAAACCCUUCGAUCAAUUGGGGUUCUAUAUUACCGAGUUUUAUCGACAGAAUAAAUUAUUCUCCAUUAGAACAUGUAUCUGAACAUGCUAGGGAUCUGACGCUAUCGACUGUGCUACACUGUGAGUGUUGCAACAAGUUCUCACAACGUAGUCGGUAAAUACCUUCUGAAGCAGCAACCUUAUCUUCUAAGCUGGGAAAUCUUAGAAACCAUAUAAUUGUUUCCAACAUUUUCAUCUGUACCACCGUGCCAAAGUUCCUUUAAAUAUCUAACUCAUCGUGGAUGUCUUUCGGUGAGUAUACCAGCGUCUCUUACCGAUACGUUUUACCAGAAUGUAAUCAUACGCGAAAUGUUGAUUCCUUCUAAGCUACGAAUGCGUUUCGACACGUAUAGCUUCCCUUGGCCUACAAAGUAGACGAAUUUCGUUGCGGAUGACACGUUGUCAUAGGUCGGCUGAUCGUUCAUUAUACUUGCUGAUAUCGCUGGUCUGGUCGUGAUCCGAUGUCCGUGGAUGUUUGAUAAUUUAUACAAAAUUGCGCCAUGCCCUUUGAAUGAUGACAGGGUUAAGUUGUCAUAGGUCAGCCGACGGCUGAUUAUACUUGCUAAUUGCCGUAUUUCUUUUUCUGUUCAUCAUGGCCCGCCAGACCGAUACUCGAUAUAGUUGUCCGAGGAGCGCGUGUGCGACACCGAGCUUUUCGAUUACCCGUGAAAUUUCCCAUGUAACUUGGUUGCACAAGAUCGAAGGCGAAAGGGAACGGCUCACUUCGAUCGAGGUAUCUCGCAUGGGCGAAGACUUGACGGAAUUGCUUAAUUCGUCGUUGCAAAAUCGAUAACUGGGGUGGGGACACCUAGUGCUUUACCAUGCUCGGACUCGAUUACUGUUGCUGCUGGGAAAAGAAGCUGGGUACACGUCAAAUAAUCAGCUGACGGAGGACAUUACACUUUAAAAUGUGCCGGUACUCUGGCGGACUUACAAUCGAGGAUGAACCACGGUGGCUCUUUAAAUCAACGAAUUUCGUGCGGCCAGGAGUUCCGCACGGUCGAUCGCGGAUUCAAACUACAUAUAUUCAAAUGCGGUUCCGCCUCCUACACUCUAGCCGCGUGAUCCCUAAUUCUCAAGCAGAAGAAGCUGCCCACCCACGGCUACUUUGCGUUACAAUAGGCACCAGGCGAGACAAAAGCCAAGCUGGAGGAGGAAAGCACGACUCGUCAAUUACAUAAUGCAUUCGAAUCGUGAUCCAUGCGAGCGGCUCGAUCGUGCGUUCGUCUCGAUCAAUGUACUGGCACCCGAAAGGAGAAUCGUGGUGUGCGUGAUGGGCGAUCCUCGAGGUCACGGUCACCAAGCGUCUCGCGGGGAACGAAUUAAAUCAUGCUCAAAAAUCUCAGCUGGUGCCUCUUGUCAUGCGUUCCUGGUACUCCUUUAUUUUUGGAAAAAUUGUUUUAUAAUUGAAUAGAACGUUCAAUCAUUUGGAAAACUGUUCAAGUCUGUAAGAGUAUGUAUUUUCGUCCUUUCCAAUCGUUUGACAUGCAAAAAUCGAUAGAAUUUCCGAAGGACCCCUAAAGAAGCUGAUCAUCGAAAUCAAGGUCACGAGAUACUCAUCGAGAAGUAAAUUUAUCUUCCCACUUGAAAUUCUAAUCUCUCUUGCCUUUUAAUCCACCUAGUUCCCCCUACGGGUACUUCAAUAAUUCAUCGGCAGCAUGGUGACAAAUUAUUUGUCCGUGACUUCACGCGCUAA